AUUUAUAUAGUUUAAAAUAAAACAUUACAUUUUCAAUGUAAAAAUAAUUAAAUUAGUUUAUAAAUA
rnacentral:tRNA from 1 species